CUUCCCUCCAUCUUGGGAGCCUUGGUUGCCAUGACAACCAUUGGUCCACUCCUCUUCCCCUAACCCUGCCAUAGGGCCACCUACUUCCCCGUAUGGAUCCCACCAUUCUUAGGCAUGACCCUGAUGACACUUUGACCCCAUGCACCUUGACACCCUCUUGGGAGGAGAUCUGAAUGGGGCCACUCCUGAGAACAGCUGGCAGCAGAAAGCAGCACGGCUGUUUGGGAAGCAGAGAGGGCCCAGGUGGCAAAGCGGAUGGAGCGGAUGCCACUGACUCAGCUCUCCAGGGGUCCUGAGCCUCGGGGGAAGCAGGAGGCCACUCAGAUAGCCUGCCAAGAGCACCGUGGAGUUCCUACAGUCCUCUGUAGAAUGCCCGGAAAAGAGUCCUGAGGAGGUGGGACACGGGACAUUAACGUGAUGGGAUAUUCUGUGGCCAAAUUAAAGAAGGACAGUGGAGGAUUCUGUUGACCCUCGAAAAUUAUUUCUAAGAGAAAAAAGCAAGACUCA